AUUGAACGCUGGCGGCAGGCUUAACACAUGCAAGUCGAGCGGAGGUGAGGUGCUUGCACCUUAUCUUAGCGGCGGACGGGUGAGUAAUGCUUAGGAAUCUGCCUAUUAGUGGGGGACAACAUUCCGAAAGGAAUGCUAAUACCGCAUACGUCCUACGGGAGAAAGCAGGGGAUCUUCGGACCUUGCGCUAAUAGAUGAGCCUAAGUCGGAUUAGCUAGCUGGUGGGGUAAAGGCCUACCAAGGCGACGAUCUGUAGCGGGUCUGAGAGGAUGAUCCGCCACACUGGGACUGAGACACGGCCCAGACUCCUACGGGAGGCAGCAGUGGGGAAUAUUGGACAAUGGGGGGAACCCUGAUCCAGCCAUGCCGCGUGUGUGAAGAAGGCCUUAUGGUUGUAAAGCACUUUAAGCGAGGAGGAGGCUACUGAGACUAAUACUCUUGGAUAGUGGACGUUACUCGCAGAAUAAGCACCGGCUAACUCUGUGCCAGCAGCCGCCGUAAAAC
rnacentral:rRNA from 1 species